rnacentral:rRNA from 1 species
UGGUGGAGUGAUUUGUCUGGUUAAUUCCGUUAACGAACGAGACCUUAACCUGCUAAAUAGUUGGGGGAAAAGUCUGCUACGGGUGAAGCGGCGCGUGUCUGGUGUCGGGGCGACUCGGCGCCACCGCGCAGUGGAUCCCUGACUGUUUCCCAGCAGUUGAUCCAACUUCUUAGAGGGACUAUUGGUGUUCAGCCAAUGGAAGUUUGAGGCAAUAACA